rnacentral:misc_RNA from 1 species
AAAAGAUUUGCGAGAUAUGGAGUCUUCUCUCAAAGAGUUGAAGGACCAAGCAGUUGAUCGACUGGCAGAAUUAAACAGUCUACAUGAAGGACGACUCAAAAUGCUUCGACAGUUAUCUGAUAUUCAGAAUACAAUGAAGAGUGUGAAGUCCAUUUCAUCUUCACAAUCAUAUCUUUUAUUGCAAGAUUGGAUAGAAAAAUUAAAAUCGG